rnacentral:rRNA from 1 species
GACAGAGGGUGCAAACGUUGUUCGGAAUUACUGGGCGUAAAGCGCGUGUAGGCGGCCCUGCAAGUCGGAUGUGAAAUCCCACGGCUCAACCGUGGAACGGCCUCGGAUACGGGCGGCCUCGAGGGGGGUAGGGGCAUCUGGAACUGUGAGUGGAGCGGUGAAAUGCGUUGAUAUUCACAGGAACUCCGGUGGCGAAGGCGAGGUGCUGGACCCCAUCUGACGCUGAGGCGCGAAAGCCAGGGGAGCGAACGGG